GCAUCUUUAGUAUGGAGGGACUUUGGAAGCAAUAUUUGAUCCCAGUCCUGUGGGUGAGGCUUAAAGAUGAGGAAGAAGGGCUUCAGGGAACAGGAAGAACUAUGAGAUGAGCUUAGCUCCCUGAGCCUUGCAACUUUUGGAUGGGUUAGGACAAAAUUUACUUAGCUGGGUGUUGUCAGAAUAUUCAUUUAAUUAAUUCUUAAAACCUAAUGAGGUACAUGGGUAACCCUGUUUGAAAGAGGCAAGUCUUGAACAGCUGGAGUGAGGUGUUCAAGGCUGUAAAACCAGUAAAUGAGAAGCUGCAUGUCUGGCUGGUUUACUCCUUCAGAAUUCAGAAAAUUCAAGCAAGCCAUGUGUAUGUACCACCUUUUUUCUUAGUGUUUAUCACUUGAAUAAAUGUUUAAUCUUUUUACUUAAGCUUUCCCCAAGCAGUAAUCAAAGUUGUGGUCGAAAUCACACUCUUAGGCAAAGUCCCUUGUUUUCAAGAGACCAGUAUCGUAAGUAGCAUUGAUGUCCCUGUGGGAUGCUGGGCUCUGGGGGCACAGACACCCCCUUCACUUCCCUUGUUCUUCAGGACACUGCGUAUAUUUGCCUCCCCAGCUCUGCUGGGUAUGCAGCUCUCUGUGCUCUGCUGGGUAUGCAAACUGACUCAGCCCCACAUCCUAAUGGGCUCACAAAUAUGGGAAACAGGUGUGGAAAUUUUACCCAAUUCUUACCUAGUGUUAGAUGUAAAUUUCUAAUCCCUGUGCUUUUGUGUUCAGGUCUUAAAAGUGGCUAACUGUCAUAAACCAAGAAAUAAAUUUACUGUAAUAAGGCAAACAUCUCUAAGUGUGAUGAACAAGUAAAACAAGGGAACAGCAAGAUCCUUUGCAAACCCCAGCUGGAAGAAAAAAAAAGGAAAAUGCUCAAACAGCACUAGCUGUCCAACUGAAAUAUAAUGUGAGCUGCAAAGGUCUGAUUGUAUUGGCAAGAACUUCUAAAACAACCUUAAAUAAUAGCAUCACUAUAGAUAUGCUUGUUCUUUUAAAAAAAAAUGUUUAUUUUCAUGAGAAUAUUUUUAAAUGUUUCAUUGUUAAAGAAUGUGUAUGUCUGAGAGAUAUACUCUCAAAAGAAACAUCUGGUUAUUGUUAAUUUUCUAAUACAUUUCUUAAACUUUUUAUUUUGAGAUAAUUAUAGAUUGCAAACAGAAGUUUGCAAAGACAGUAAAGAGGUCCCUAUUUACCCUCCACCCAUUUCACCAAUGGUUACAUCUUACAUAACUACAGGACAAUAUCAUAUCAAAAUUAGAAAAUUAGUAUCGGUACAGGGACUUCCCUGGCGGUCUGAUGGUUAAGACUCCCCGCUUCCACUGCAGGGGGCAUGGGUUCGAUCCCUGGUUGGGGAACUAAGAUCCCGCGUGCCCACAUGGCGCGGCCAAAAAAAAAGAAAAUUAGCAUUGGUAUAAUGUAUGUGUACAUCAUUCUAUAGUUUACAGAAUACAGACUAUAUCAUUCUGUAGUCAUUUUACUGAUUUGUGUAACCACCAUUGCAAUCAAGAUACAGAACUAUUUCAUCACUACAAUGAUCUCCUUCAUGCCACUCUUUUAUCCAUCUUUCCCCUUCCCAUCACCAUCCCUCACCCCUUACAACCACUGAUGAGUUCUCCAUCUCUGUAAUUUUUAAAAUUUGAGAAUGUUAUGGAAUCAUAUAAUGUGACCUUUUCAGAUUGGCUUUUUUUCACUCAGCAUAAUUCCUUGAGAUCCACUCAAGUUGUUGUAUAUAUCAACAGUCUGUUCCUUUUUAUUACCAAGUGUAUUCCAUGGUAUAGAUGUACCACAGUUUUUAAAACGAUUCAGCUACUAUAGGACAUUUUGUUUGUUUCCAGUUUGGGGCUGUUACAAAAAGCUGCUAUGAAAAAUCACGUAUAAGUUUUUAUGUGAACAUGUUUAAUUUCUCUGGAAUGUCCAGGAGUGGGAAUGCUGGGACAUAUGGUAAGUGAAUGUUAAGUUUUUUAAGAAACUGCCAAACUAUUUUCCAGAAUGGCUGUACCAUUUCACAUUCCCACUAGCAAUGUGUGAGAGAGACAGUUUCUCUGCACACUCACCAGCA